rnacentral:rRNA from 1 species
GGAAUCUUGCGCAAUGGCCGAGAGGCUGACGCAGCGACGCCGCGUGGAGGAUGACGCCCUUCGGGGUGUAAACUCCUGUUGCCCGGGACGAAUGUCCGGUUUCGACCGGAGUGACGGUACCGGGUGAGGAAGCACCGGCUAACACUGUGCCAGCAGCCGCGGUCAUACAGAGGGUGCGAGCGUUGUCCGGAAUCACUGGGCGUAAAGGGCGCGUAGGCGGCGGGAUAAGCGUGUGGUGAAAGCCCGGGGCUCAACCCCGGGUCGGCCAUGCGAACUGUUUCGCUGGAGCACGGUAGAGGCACAUGGAAUUCCGGGUGUAGCGGUGGAAUGCGUAGAGAUCCGGAAGAACACCGGUGGCGAAGGCGGUGUGCUGGGCCGUAGCUGACGCUGAGGCGCGACAGCGUGGGGAGCAAAC